CAGCCGCCGCGGUAAUACGUAGGUGGCAAGCGUUGUCAGGAAUUAUUGGGCGUAAAGGGCUCGCAGGCGGUUUCUUAAGUCUGAUGUGAAAGCCCCCGGCUCAACCGGGGAGGGUCAUUGGAAACUGGGAAACUUGAGUGCAGAAGAGGAGAGUGGAAUUCCACGUGUAGCGGUGAAAUGCGUAGAGAUGUGGAGGAACACCAGUGGCGAAGGCGACUCUCUGGUCUGUAACUGACGCUGAGGAGCGAAAGCGUGGGGAGCGAACAGGAUUAGAUACCCGAGUAGUCCCUGUCUCUUAUAC
rnacentral:rRNA from 1 species